GCCAUACUCCCUCCGUUCGGAAUUACUUGUCGCGGAAAUGGAUGUAUCUAGACGUAUCUUAGUUCUAGAUACAUCCAUUUUCGAGACAAGUAAUCACGAACGGAGGGAGUACAUG
rfam:Triticum aestivum genome assembly, contig: Triticum_aestivum_CS42_TGACv1_scaffold_487598_6AS